UGAAAAAAGAUGAUAUAUUUUCAAUAAAACUACUGACCUCUAAUUAUUAUUUUUCUCAAUAAUUUUUUUGCUAUAAUUAAAUAUAUCUUUUAAAUUUUUAGUGAUUAAUUUACUGAAUAUUUGUAUAGGUAUACAUCCCCUCCGAAUCAUCGUAGGAAAACAAAAUAUUGACAGAUUUCGUUCAAUACGCUCUCAAGGUGAUAUACAUUUUACUUGGAUUUUGAGAAUAGAUUCAUAUUUUCACACAUUAUCUUUGAAGUAAUUAAUUUUUAAAAUGAAAUAUUAAAAUUAAUGUGAUGACUCUAUUUAGCAAAAUAUGUUAAUGAAGUUUCUCAAGAUAACGUGCCUUCUAUCGAAUGGGUCGAAACUUUGGAGAUGGAUAACAAAGUGGACACAUCUUUUCAUCAGGUAUGUUAUCACUAUUAAUCCAUCUCUUAUAUUAACAAUAUGAA
rnacentral:lncRNA from 1 species